rnacentral:rRNA from 1 species
GACGUAGGGCGCGAGCGUUUGUCCGGAUUUAUUGGGCGUAAAGAGCUCGUAGGCGGCUCGUUGCGUCCAUCGUGAAAACUCAGGGCUUAACUCUGAGCUUGCGGUGGAUACGGGCGGGCUAGAGUUCGGUAGGGGAGUCUGGAAUUCCUGGUGUAGAGGUGAAAUUCGUAGAUAUUCGCAAGAACACCAGUGGCGAAGGCGGCUCACUGGCUCGAUACUGACGCUGAGGUGCGAAAGCGUGGGGGAGCAAACAGG